rnacentral:rRNA from 1 species
CCCUACGGGGCGCAGCAGGCGCGAAAACUUUGCAGUGCGGGAAACCGUGACAGGGGAACUCCGAGUGCCCGUAAAAUCGGGCUGUCCAUCAGUUUAAAUAACUGGUGAAGAAAGGGCCGGGCAAGACCGGUGCCAGCCGCCGCGGUAAUACCGGCGGCUCGAGUGGUGGCCACUAUUACUGGGCUUAAAGCGUUCGUAGCUGGUUUGUUAAGUCUCUGGGGAAAUCUUCCGGCUCAACCGGAAGGCGUCUCAGGGAUACUGGCAGACUAGGGACCGGGAGAGGUGAGGGGUACUCCAGGGGUAGGAGUGAAAUCCUGUAAUCCA